rnacentral:rRNA from 1 species
AACGAACGCUGGCGGCAGGCUUAACACAUGCAAGUCGAGCGCCCCGCAAGGGGAGCGGCAGACGGGCGAGUAACGCGUGGGAAUCUACCCAUCUCUACGGAAUAACGCAUGGAAACGUGUGCUAAUACCGUAUACGUCCUUCGGGAGGAAGAUUUAUCGGAGAUGGAUGAGCCCGCGUUGGAUUAGCUAGUUGGUGGGGUAAAGGCCUACCAAGGCGACGAUCCAUAGCUGGUCUGAGAGGAUGAUCAGCCACACUGGGACUGAGACACGGCCCAGACUCCUACGGAGGCAGCAGUGGGGAAUAUUGGACAAUGGGCGCAAGCCUGAUCCAGCCAUGCCGCGUGAGUGAUGAAGGCCCUAGGGUUGUAAAGCUCUUUCACCGGUGAAGAUAAUGACGGUAACCGGAGAAGAAGCCCCGGCUAACUUCGUGCCAGCCGCCGCCGUAAGAC